rnacentral:lncRNA from 1 species
UAUCCUUGUGAAUGUGGCGGCAGGUCUGUUGACGUAACCCGGACUUUCGCUGUAAUCCGGGGUGUGACAGUCCAGCUACUAUACAAUUAUGAGAAGGAUCGCCUUCGUACUCAUAGUCGCCUUCGAUGAUAGAACAUUCAAAUCAACAAUUUAUACCAUUAAACAUGAUUUAGAGCAUUUGAAUCUUCUAGAAAUUAAUUUCAUCAUUUUUCGAUAUCAUUUAACCUACGAUCAAAAGAUCUCAAGAAGUUUUAAAUACUCUAGGGAACCACAAUCAUCUUAACUGUAUAUCCUUUGAUCCAAUGGUCAAAAAUUUAUGAGUAUAAAAGGUUUAUACUUAUAAGAGUAUAGUAGCCUUAACACACACACACACACACAUAUAUAUAUAUAGCAUAUAAAACUUCUAGAAAUCAAAUUUUAUAAUUUUUCGAUAUCAUUACCUUACGAUCAAAAACUCACAAAAUUGACAAUUUUUAAUAGCCGGUAUGGGAGCCAGUUUAACGGUGUAAAAGAAUCAGAAUCGAUUGAAUUUUUAAUAGAAAAUUCUAUUCCCUACCUAAAUAAAGAUAAAUAACUCCAAUCUUAAAUUGAAUGACCCGAUCAUUAAUUUUUAGGAUAUCGUUUAAUUUUUAUCGUUCAUUUUAUACCCGCUUGAUGGACUUUAUAAUGAUUUCAAAAAAUUAAGAAAUUUAUUUUCUAAAAGUUUCAAAUACUCUAGAUCAUGUUUAACGGUGUGGAUAGUCAAUUUGGAAAUCCCAACAUCAAAAAUAACUUACGAGUACAUAGAGCUAGGUUGGUAUACUAUCGGUAGCACGAAGACCUCCGUGCUACCAAGUUGUUUUCAAUGAUGCGGCUUCCAAAUCGACGAUCGGCUUCGCUAGACUUGAUCUACAAUAUUAAAAGUAUUUGGAAACAAAAAUUUUUCGACAUCAUUUGACUAGUGAUCAAAAUGUCUCAAAAUUGACAAUUUUAAUAGUAGAUGUGAUGCGUUUGUGAAUUUAACGGUGUAAAAUAAUUCAAAUAUGAUGAAAUUUUUAUAGAAAUUUUUUUUCAGUAUUUAGAGAGAGAUCAGUACCUCUGAUCUUAAAUUCAAGUUUUUUAUCAUCAUUUUUUGUGAGAUUUUUAGUUUUAGCCAUUUAUUUUUAGACUAAACGUUUGAUAGGUAAAUGAUACCGAAAAAUUAUAAAAUUUAGUUUCUAAAUACUUUCAAAAGCGUAGAUCAAAGUCUAACGGAGCCAAUCGUCGAUUUGGAAGCCGCAUCAUUGAAAACAACUUGGUAGCACGGAAUACUAUUAAUAGCACCAAUGACUCGGUGCUAUUAAGUUUUUUGUCCUUUGAUUAAAAGAUGUGCGGUUAGGAUGAUGUGAGUCUCCUAGGAUUAAGUGGGUGGUUGGUUGCAUGAAUAGUAUAAUUGAACGGAUGAAAAUGAUAAAAGAGAUAAAUAUAACAGUAGAAAAUUUGAUAGCACCAAAUACUUCGUGCUAUCGAUAGUAUACUAGUAUCCCAGCCGGACUCUCUCUCUCUCUCUCUAUAUAUAUAUAUAUAUAUUAUAAGCUUUUUCUUUAUUAUUAUAUCAUUAUAUAUUAUUUUAAUGUAUUUAAUUUAUAAAUACAAACUAUAAUAAUAAUAGUAUAUGUAGUUUAGUAAAUAUUAGAUGUAAAUAAUAAUAUUUAGGUGAAAAUUUAACACGAGAAUUUAAAUUUGUGAAAUUUCAAAGAUGGAAACUAAACUCCCAACCUUACAAAACGAAACAGAUCUAUCGAUCUGAUAAAAAAACGUGGCGAGAUAUAUAUAUAACAACACAACUCAAUAAGUCUGAUUGAAAUAUUAAUUUUAUUUUCUACAAGCCAAAUAUUAGAAUACGUAAAAAAAAAAUUCACGAAAAAUUGUUUGCUCUAAAACUCUUUUCACAAUUAUAUAUGAAAUCAAACUGCCCCUAAAACUUCAAUAAUAAUAGGGAAAACUUUAAAUACCACCUCUGUAAUUUCGCAUUUUUUCACUUCAAUAUUUUGUUAUUUACGCUGUGAUUUUAUUUUUUUAUUUUUUAUUAUCCUCUCCAUUAAUUUUUUCGUUAAAUUAGUGAUAAAGAUAAAACUAAAUGGUACUAAAAUAAACAUUCGAUAAAUUACAGGUGGGCAUAUGAAGUUUUUUAUAUAUGAUUUAAUGAAAAAUAAACGGCGAGGCAGACGAAAAGUAAAAAAAUAAAAUCACAAAAUACUAAACUAAUCUACUUUAAAUUAUAAAAUAUUUAAGUAAAAAAGAUAUUUAAAGUUUAUCUAUUAUAAUACAUUACUCUUUCUCUCUG